CUGGCUUACACUUGAGCAAUUUGAGUUGCAUUGGGCAUCACUUUUAGGUUUCAAUUGAAAUCAGGUUGCUUUUGGCUUAUGGAUAAUCAAUCCAGACUUUUGAACCUGUGAGUGGUUGCUGCGUAAGCCACUAUAGAAGGUUCUAAUUCAUUGUUUUCUCCGGACAAUCACAUGUAGAUGAGUAAUUGAACUGGAACUCUGAGAUGACGACCCUUUCUUCCAUAGUGUCAUAAUUGGGGACAAGGUUGAGGGACAGUAAUGAUUGCAUGCAUUAAGCUUUUGUGACAGCAGGCUUGAGAGAUCCUGGAUGGCCGUGAUCCUGAUGCAAUUUAAUGAUUUUUUUUAUUAUACUAGUAACUUGAUAAGUAGAGAUCAUCACGAAGAAUAAGAUAAGAGAAAGAGACCAUCAUGAAAAUAUGGUUCUCAGUAUGAACAUCUUCAAAUAGAGACCUAUCGGCCAAUC
rnacentral:lncRNA from 1 species